rnacentral:rRNA from 1 species
UACGUAGGGUGCGAGCGUUGUCCGGAAUUACUGGGCGUAAAGAGCUCGUAGGUGGUUUGUCGCGUUGUUCGUGAAAACUCACAACUCAAUUGUGGGCGUGCGGGCGAUACGGGCAGACUGGAGUACUGCAGGGGAGACUGGAAUUCCUGGUGUAGCGGUGAAAUGCGCAGAUAUCAGGAGGAACACCGGUGGCGAAGGCGGGUCUCUGGGCAACAACUGACGCUGAGGAGCGAAAGCGUGGGGAGCGAACAGG